UACGUAGGUGGCAAGCGUUGUCCGGAUUUAUUGGGUUUAAAGGGUGCGUAGGCGGCCCUGUAAGUCAGUGCUGAAAUAUCCCGGCUUAACCGGGAGGGUGGCAUUGAUACUGCGGGGCUAGAGUACAGAUGAGGUAGGCGGAAUUGACGGUGUAGCGGUGAAAUGCUUAGAUAUCGUCAAGAACACCUAUAGCGGAGGCAGCUUACUAGGCUGUAACUGACGCUGAGGCACGAAAGUGUGGGGAUCAAACAGG
rnacentral:rRNA from 1 species